rnacentral:rRNA from 1 species
AUGCAUGUCUAAGUGCAAGCCGGACUCGUUCGGUGAAACCGCGAAAGGCUCAUUAAAUCAGUUAUGGUUCCUUAGAUCGUACCCACGUUACAUGGAUAACUGUGGUAAUUCUAGAGCUAAUACAUGCUUACAGAGCUCCGACCAGCGGUGGGACGUUGCGACUCGUUCGCGGCGCUCCGGUCGUUCGGAAGGAGCGCUUUUAUUAGAUCAAAACCGGCCAAGCGCGUCGGUCGCGCUUCGCGCGCGUCCGCGCGUAAGAGGCCCGCGCAAAGACUUGACGACUCUGAAUAACUUUUAGCUGAUUGUACGGUCUCCGUACCGACAACGUAUCUUUCAAAUGUCUGCCUUAUCAACUGUCGACGGUAGUUUAGACGACUACCGUGGUGGUAACGGGUAACGGGGAAUCAGGGUUCGAUUCCGGAGAGGGAGCCUGAGAAACGGCUACCACAUCCAAGGAAGGCAGCAGGCACGAAAAUUAUCCACUUC